UACGAAGGGGGCUAGCGUUGCUCGGAAUUACUGGGCGUAAAGCGCACGUAGGCGGCUUUCUAAGUCGGGGGUGAAAUCCUGGAGCUCAACUCCAGAACUGCCUUUGAUACUGGCGAGCUUGAGUUCGGGAGAGGUGAGUGGAACUGCGAGUGUAGAGGUGAAAUUCGUAGAUAUUCGCAAGAACACCAGUGGCGAAGGCGGCUCACUGGCCCGAUACUGACGCUGAGGUGCGAAAGCGUGGGGAGCAAACAGG
rnacentral:rRNA from 1 species